rnacentral:sRNA from 2 species
GACUCUUCAACAUCUGAAAAGCAGAUAUGAGUUAGAAUUCAGGUUAGCUGAGAAAUAGAGCUCUGAGAAAUAUGAUAAAAUCGCUGUGUCUGAUGCGUGGGAGAUAUGUGGGAGAUAUGGCGUAGUUUUAGUGGGGGGGUUGACAUGGUUUAUAGUCAAAACCAUGCCGAAGGUUAUUCCGGCCUGAAAAAUUAACCAUGUUCAACUUUUUAUUAACCACGUUCAACUGUAUGCCCGUUCCGUUCUGUCAAAAAGCCUGUUGCAAACUCGCUGAAUUCACCGUCUCUGUUUGCAAGAUAUGUUUUUGUUUUUAAGUGAAAUAGAGUAUAACAGCCGCGCGAGUUGAAUAUAUUUUUUUCUCUCACUAUAUACACGGGUAGACUGCUAUAGAUAAAUAUUUACUGGAAUGGGCUGCUCUGACCUGAUACCACUGUCGCAUCCUCAAAGUCUAGGGGCCACAGGCUAAUUUCAGCGAACUUUCGUGCUUGUUGCAUGAGUUCUUCACUUAAAAAGACGCGUUCUGAUGCUGGCGGCGAAAUAUCAGUAGCGGAAAGCCGCUCCUCGGAGUCCAGUGGUGGAGAGGAUACCGUGUGGCUCGAUUGGUUCUCCUUAUCCGCAAGUGCUUCACGGCUGCCGAGCGAGAAACAAGUGAUCUCGUCGCCCUUUUUGGAGUGGGCUAAAUGUGUAUUCUUGGA